rnacentral:lncRNA from 1 species
UGGACGACUUGGCGCCCAGCCCUUCGGGCGGUUAUUUUUGGGCGCGGCCUUGUCCGCGGCCUAUUUUUGGUACACAGAGGCCCCUCGCAAAGUCUCGCGGCAUUACGAGUCCGGCGGACGAAAUUGGCCAGCCCCACCCCCCAAGGCUAUAGCCCACCCGUUUUUCUGGCCUUUUUCCGCUGGACGAACUUGGCGCCCCGGCCUUUCGGCGGUUAUUUUUGGGCGCGGCUUUGUCCACGGCCUAUUUUUGGCACACGGAGGCCCCUCGCAAAGUCUCGCGGCAUUCCGAGUCCGGCUGACGAAGUUGGCCAGCCCCACCCCCCAAGGCUCUAGCCCAGCCGUUUUUGUGGCCUUUUUACGCUGGACGACUUGGCGACCCGCCCUUCGGGCGGUUAUUUUUGGACGCGGCUUUGUCCGCGGCCUAUUUUUGGCACACGGAGGCUGCUCGCAAAGUCUUGCGGCAUUCCGCGUCCGGCGGACGAAGUUGGCCAGCCCCACCCCCCAAGGCUAUAGCCCACCCGUUUUUGUGGCCUUUUUCCGAUAGACGAACUUGGCUCCCCGACCUUCGGGUGGUUAUUUAUGGGUGUGGCUUUGUGCGUGGCCUAUUUUUGGCACACGGAGGACCCUCGCAAAGUCUCGCGGCAUUCCGAGUCCGGCGGACGAAGUUGGCCAGCCCCACCCCCCAAGGCUAUAGCCCACCCGUUUUUGUGGCCUUUUCCCACUGGACAAACUUGGCGCCCCGGCCUUCGGGCAGUUAUUUUUGGGUGCGAAUUUGCCCACGGCCUAUUUUUGGGACACGGAGGCCCCUCGCCAAGUCUCGCGGCAUUCCCAGUCUGGCGGAUAUAGUUGCCCAGCCCACCCCGCAAGGUUAUAGCCCACCCGUUUUUGUGGCCUUUUUCCGCGGGACGAACUUGGCGCCCGGGCCUUCGGGCGGUUAUUUUUGCGCGUGACUUUGCCCGCGGCCUAUUUUUUGUACACGGAGGCCCCUCGCAAAGUCUCGCGGCAUUCCGAGUCCGGCGGACGAAGUUGGCCAGCCCCACCCCCCAAGGCUAUAGCCCACCCGUUUUUGUGGCCUUUUUCCGCUGGACGAACUUGCCGCCCCGGCGUUCGGGCAGUUAUUUUUGGGUGCGGCUUUACCCGCGACGUAUUUUUGGCACGCGGAGGCCCCUCGCAAAAUCUCGCGGCAUUCCGAGUCCGGCGGACGAAGUUGGCCGGCCCCUCCCCCCAAGGCUAUAGCCCACCCGUUUUUGUGGCCUUUUUCCGCUGGACGAACUUGGCGCCCCGGCCUUUGGGCAGUUAUUUUUGGGCCCGGCUUUGCCAGCGACGUAUUUUUGGCACGCGGAGGCCCCUCGCAAAGUCUCGCGGUAUUCCGAGUCCGGCGGACGAAGUCGGCCAGCCCCACCCCCCAAGGCUAUAGCCCACCCGUUUUUGUUACCUUUUUCCGCUGGACGAACUUGGCGCCCCGGCCUUCGGGUGGUUAUUUUUGGGCGCGGCUUUGCCCGCGACGUAUUUUUGGCACACGGAGGCCCCUCGCAAAGUCUCACGGCAUUCCGAGUCCGGCGGACGAAGUGGGCCAGCCCCACCCCCCAAGGCUAUAGCCCACCCGUUUUUGUGGCCUUUUUUCGCAGGACGAACUUGGCGCCGCGGCCUUCGGGCGGUUAUUUUGGGCGCGGCAUUGUCCACGGCCU